rnacentral:rRNA from 1 species
AUGACGGCCUUCGGGUUGUAAACCUCUUUUGGUAGGGAAGAAGCCUUCGGGUGACGGUACCUGCAGAAAAAGCGCCGGCUAACUACGUGCCAGCAGCCGCGGUAAUACGUAGGGCGCAAGCGUUAUCCGGAAUUAUUGGGCGUAAAGAGCUCGUAGGCGGUCUGUCGCGUCUGCUGGGAAAUCCCGAGGCUCAACCUCGGGCUUGCAGUGGGUACGGGCAGACUAGAGUGCGGUAGGGGAGAUUGGAAUUCCUGGUGUAGCGGUGGAAUGCGCAGAUAUCAGGAGGAACACCGAUGGCGAAGGCAGAUCUCUGGGCCGUUACUGACGCUGAGGAGCGAAAGGGUGGGGAGCAAACAGGCUUAGAUACCCUGGUAGUCCACCCCGUAAACGUUGGGAACUAGUUGUGGGGUCCUUUCCACGGAUUCCGUGACGUACCUAACGCAUUAAGUUCCCCGCCUGGGGAGUACGGCCGCAAGGCUAAAACUCAAAGGAAUUGACGGGGACCCGCACAAGCGGCGGAGCAUGCGGAUUAAUUCGAUGCAACGCGAAGAACCUUACCAAGGCUUGACAUACACCAGAACGGGCCAGAAAUGGUCAACUCUUUGGACACUGGUGAACAGGUGGUGCAUGGUUGUCGUCAGCUCGUGUCGUGAGAUGUUGGGUUAAGUCCCGCAACGAGCGCAACCCUCGUU